GACGAACGCUGGCGGCGUGCUUAACACAUGCAAGUCGAACGGAAAGGCCCUGCUUUUGUGGGGUGCUCGAGUGGCGAACGGGUGAGUAACACGUGAGUAACCUGCCCUUGACUUUGGGAUAACUUCAGGAAACUGGGGCUAAUACCGGAUAGGAGCUCCUGCUGCAUGGUGGGGGUUGGAAAGUUUCGGCGGUUGGGGAUGGACUCGCGGCUUAUCAGCUUGUUGGUGGGGUAGUGGCUUACCAAGGCUUUGACGGGUAGCCGGCCUGAGAGGGUGACCGGCCACAUUGGGCCUGCGAUACGGCCCAGACUCCUACGGGAGGCAGCAGUGGGGAAUAUUGCACAAUGGGCGGAAGCCUGAUGCAGCAACGCCGCGUGCGGGAUGACGGCCUUCGGGUUGUAAACCGCUUUCGCCUGUGCCGAAGCGUGAGUGACGGUAAUGGGUAAAGAAGCACCGGCUAACUACGUG
rnacentral:rRNA from 1 species